rnacentral:rRNA from 1 species
UACGUAGGGUGCGAGCGUUGUCCGGAAUUAUUGGGCGUAAAGGGCUCGUAGGCGGUCCAUCGCGUCGGGAGUGAAAAGCUGGGGCUUAACCCCAGUCCUGCUUUCGAUACGGGUGGACUAGAGGUAGGCAGGGGAGAAUGGAAUUCCUGGUGUAGCGGUGAAAUGCGCAGAUAUCAGGAGGAACACCUGUGGCGAAAGCGGCUCACUGGACCACAACUGACGCUGAGGCGCGAAAGCUAGGGGAGCAAACAGG